rnacentral:rRNA from 1 species
AGAGUUUGAUCCUGGCUCAGAACGAACGCUGGCGGCAGGCUUAACACAUGCAAGUUGAACGGGAUUUGUAUGGUGCUUGCACCAUGUAAUGAGAGUAGCGCACUGGUGAGUAACACGUGGGAACAUACCUUGAAGUGGGGGACAACAGUUGGAAACGACUGCUAAUACCGCAUAAUCCCUGAGGGGGAAAGAUUUAUCGCUUUAAGAUUGGCCCGCGGAAGAUUAGGUAGUUGGUGGGGUAAAGGCCUACCAAGCCGACGAUCUAUAGCUGGUCUGAGAGGACGAACAGCCACAUUGGAACUGAGACACGGUCCAGACUCCUACGGGAGGCAGCAGUGAGGAAUAUUGGGCAAUGGAGGAAACUCUGACCCAGCCAUGCCGCGUGAGUGAAGAAGGUUUUCGAAUUGUAAAGCUCUUUCGGAUGGGACGAUGAUGACGGUACCAUCUAAAGAAGCCCCGGCAAACUUCGUGCCAGCAGCCGCGGUAAUACGAAGGGGGCAAGCGUUGUUCGGAAUUACUGGGCGUAAAGGGUGUGUAGGCGGAUUUGUAAGAUAGUGGUGAAAUACCUGAGCUCAACUUAGGAAUUGCCAUUAUAACUAUAGAUCUGGAGUGACAGAGAGGAUAUUGGAAUACCCAGUGUAGAGGUGAAAUUCGUAGAUAUUGGGUAGAACACCAGUGGCGAAGGCGAGUAUCUGGCUGUCAACUGACGCUGAGGCACGAAAGCAUGGGGAUCAAACAGGAUUAGAUACCCUGGUAGUCCAUGCUGUAAACGAUGAAUGCUAGUUGUCGGCAAAAGCCGGUGACGCAGUUAACGCGAUAAGCAUUCCGCCUGGGGAGUACGGUCGCAAGAUUAAAACUCAAAGGAAUUGACGGGGACCCGCACAAGCGGUGGAGCAUGUGGUUUAAUUCGAUGCAACGCGAAGAACCUUACCAACUCUUGACAUCCUCAUUAGGGAGGGGAGAGAUUCCCUCUUUCAGUUAGGCUGGGUGAGUGACAGAUGCUGCAUGGCUGUCGUCAGCUCGUGUCGUGAGAUGUUGGGUUAAGUCCCGCAAC